rnacentral:rRNA from 1 species
GACGAACGCUGGCGGCGUGCCUAAUACAUGCAAGUAGAACGCUGAAGGAGGAGCUUGCUUCUCUGGAUGAGUUGCGAACGGGUGAGUAACGCGUAGGUAACCUGCCUGGUAGCGGGGGAUAACUAUUGGAAACGAUAGCUAAUACCGCAUAAUAGUAGAUGUUGCAUGACAUUUGCCUAAAAGGUGCAAUUGCAUCACUACCAGAUGGACCUGCGUUGUAUUAGCUAGUUGGUGGGGUAACGGCUCACCAAGGCGACGAUACAUAGCCGACCUGAGAGGGUGAUCGGCCACACUGGGACUGAGACACGGCCCAGACUCCUACGGGAGGCAGCAGUAGGGAAUCUUCGGCAAUGGACGGAAGUCUGACCGAGCAACGCCGCGUGAGGGAAGAAGGUUUUCGGAUCGUAAAGCUCUGUUGUAAGAGAAGAACGAGUGUGAGAGUGGAAAGUUCACACUGUGACGGUAUCUUACCAGAAAGGGACGGCUAGCUACGUG